rnacentral:rRNA from 1 species
CGAAUGCUGACAUAAGUAACGAUAAAGCGGGUGAAAAGCCCGCUCGCCGGAAGACCAAGGGUUCCUGUCCAACGUUAAUCGGGGCAGGGUGAGUCGACCCCUAAGGCGAGGCCGAAAGGCGUAGUCGAUGGGAAACGGGUUAAUAUUCCCGUACUUGGUGUUACUGCGAAGGGGGGACGGAGAAGGCUAUGUUGGCCGGGCGACGGUUGUCCCGGUUUAAGCGUGUAGGUGUGUGUUCCAGGUAAAUCCGGUUCACUUUAACACUGAGGCGUGACGACGAGGCACUACGGUGCUGAAGCAACAAAUGCCCUGCUUCCAGGAAAAGCCUCUAAGCAUCAGGUAACAUCAAAUCGUACCCCAAACCGACACAGGUGGUCAGGUAGAGAAUACCAAGGCGCUUGAGAGAACUCGGGUGAAGGAACUAGGCAAAAUGGUGCCGUAACUUCGGGAGAAGGCACGCUGACACGUAGGUGAAGUGAUUUACUCAUGGAGCUGAAGUCAGUCGAAGAUACCAGCUGGCUGCAACUGUUUAUUAAAAACACAGCACUGUGCAAACACGAAAGUGGACGUAUACGGUGUGACGCCUGCCCGGUGCCGGAAGGUUAAUUGAUGGGGUCAGCGCAAGCGAAGCUCCUGAUCGAAGCCCCGGUAAACGGCGGCCGUAACUAUAACGGUCCUAAGGUAGCGAAAUUCCUUGUCGGGUAAGUUCCGACCUGCACGAAUGGCGUAAUGAUGGCCAGGCUGUCUCCACCCGAGACUCAGUGAAAUUGAACUCGCUGUGAAGAUGCAGUGUACCCGCGGCAAGACGGAAAGACCCCGUGAACCUUUACUAUAGCUUGACACUGAACAUUGAGCCUUGAUGUGUAGGAUAGGUGGGAGGCUUUGAAGUGUGGACGCCAGUCUGCAUGGAGCCGACCUUGAAAUACCACCCUUUAAUGUUUGAUGUUCUAACGUGGACCCGUUACCCGGGUUGCGGACAGUGUCUGGUGGGUAGUUUGACUGGGGCGGUCUCCUCCUAAAGAGUAACGGAGGAGCACGAAGGUUGGCUAAUCCUGGUCGGACAUCAGGAGGUUAGUGCAAUGGCAUAAGCCAGCUUGACUGCGAGCGUGACGGCGCGAGCAGGUGCGAAAGCAGGUCAUAGUGAUCCGGUGGUUCUGAAUGGAAGGGCCAUCGCUCAACGGAUAAAAGGUACUCCGGGGAUAACAGGCUGAUACCGCCCAAGAGUUCAUAUCGA